rnacentral:rRNA from 2 species
AUUCGUGACUGGGGUGAAGUCGUAACAAGGUAGCCGUAUCGGAAGGUGCGGCUGGAUCACCUCCUUUCUAGAGUG